rnacentral:rRNA from 1 species
UACGUAGGGUGCGAGCGUUGCCCGGAUUUAUUGGGCGUAAAGGGCGCGUAGGCGGCUCGACACGUUCGUUGUGAAAUCGCCCGGCUCAACUGGGCGGGGUCAGCGAAUACGGUCGAGCUUGAGCAAGCUAGGGGGCAAUGGAAUUCCCGGUGUAGCGGUGAAAUGUGUAGAGAUCGGGAGGAACACCGGUGGCGAAGGCGGGUCUCUGGGCAUCUCCUGACGCUGAGGCGCGAAAGCGUGGGGAGCAAACGGG